rnacentral:misc_RNA from 1 species
UAUGGAGAAUUGAUGAACGCUGUUCAUCAAUAAAGUUUCCGUGUUUCGUUUUGUUCAGUUUUGAGAGAACUAUCUCUCAUAUAUAAAUGUAUGUUCUUUGAAAACUAGAUAACAGUGUAGCUCAUAUUUUUUAAUUUUUAGUUUGGUUAAGUUAGAA